rnacentral:piRNA from 1 species
AUUUUAGAUGUUGAGAACAUUCCCUGUG